GAUAAGGUUCCGCACAUCUCAGCCAGACCAAGGACCUUUAGCAAGGGAUGAUUGCUUCAGAGAACAAACUAUUCCAGCUCAGGGACUACAGUCAAAGUUUGCUAAGCAAGAGAAAACAUUUUUAGAUGAAUGAUGUUAAAAAUCCAAUACAUCGAAAUCGCUGGCUGCAGCUAACACAGUCCUUGGAGAGAAUGUUACAGCUUUAAAUGCUGAUAGUCAAAAAGAGGAAAGGGAUUGAAUUAAUUCUUGAAGGGUUGACUACAGGAACCCUGGAGAAAAAGAGUAAAUGAAACCCAAAGUAAAUAAAAGGAAGCAAAUAAUUAAAAGAAACUGAUGAAAUCAAAAAUUAACAGACCAUACA